rnacentral:lncRNA from 1 species
AAGUCUCCCAAACAAAGCUCCCAUAACUCACCAUUCAUAUGGUCCCAUGUUCAUUUGAUUUGAUUUUUUGUCUCAUAAAAAAAUAUAUAUGGCUUACGAGUGGGGAUCUCCACCAUUUACAAGUAUUCAAACAGAGGGGGUGGUGAUGACCCCCAAGGACUUUACCUACAUUUCAUUUGAUUAGUUUUAUUGUCCCAUACAAGAAUAUAUAUGGUUAAGGGGUGGGGAUGUUGACCGUUUACAAGUUUUCAAACAAGAGGGGGUGGGGUGACCCCCUAGGGACUUCCCUUUUAUUUCAUUUCAUUUGUUUUAUUGUCCCAUACAAGAAUAUAUAUGGUUUAGGGGUGGGGAUCUGGACCGUUUCCAAGAUAAUAGCACAUUUUCAAAUUGAACGGGGUGGGGAGGACCCCCAGGGACUUCCCUUUAAUUUCAUUUGAUUUGUUUUAUCGUCUCAUUCAAGAAUAUAUGAGGUUUAGGGG